UUUGGCUUUACUUUUGGCGAGCUGUCAUAUCGUCCAUCUGUGUUGUCAAUCCAUUUGGCUUCUUUCUCACUAUACUUCCUCUCAACACGAAGCUUGCAUUGUUUUUCUCUGUCACCUCAGAGAGAUCGAUACCAGUUUGGACGCCUGUUAUCGUAAACAUGAUGCUGCAACUAGGAGAACGUUAGCUUAGCUUAGCAUAAAGACUGGAAACAGUGGGGACAGCUAGCCAGCCAGCUUCUGGAUGACAUGCACCAAACAGGGUCAGGAUCUGGAAUUGAACCGGUGACCAGUGCGUCAAGGGUUGAUGCCUCUGAACGUGGGGCGCCGGCUCUACCAACGGAGGAUUAAUGGCCGGGCUGAUAAGUGAUGUCUGACAACGCCGGUGGCAGGGGACGACUGUCAUCUAAAACACUCCCAUCCAUCUGGGGGUACACUGUUUGAUAACGUGUGUGUGUGUGUGUGUGUGUGUGUG